rnacentral:rRNA from 1 species
GAUGAACGCUGGCGGCGUGCCUAAUACAUGCAAGUCGAGCGAACAGACGAGGAGCUUGCUCCUCUGACGUUAGCGGCGGACGGGUGAGUAACACGUGGAUAACCUACCUAUAAGACUGGGAUAACUUCGGGAAACCGGAGCUAAUACCGGAUAAUAUAUUGAACCGCAUGGUUCAAUAGUGAAAGACGGUUUUGCUGUCACUUAUAGAUGGAUCCGCGCCGCAUUAGCUAGUUGGUAAGGUAACGGCUUACCAAGGCAACGAUGCGUAGCCGACCUGAGAGGGUGAUCGGCCACACUGGAACUGAGACACGGUCCAGACUCCUACGGGAGGCAGCAGUAGGGAAUCUUCCGCAAUGGGCGAAAGCCUGACGGAGCAACGCCGCGUGAGUGAUGAAGGUCUUCGGAUCGUAAAACUCUGUUAUUAGGGAAGAACAAAUGUGUAAGUAACGAUGCACGUCUUGACGGUACCUAAUCAGAAAGCCACGGCUAACUACGUGC